rnacentral:lncRNA from 1 species
GAGUGUGUCGCCAAGCAGAGAACAGGCUGCUGCCCCCACCGGGGACCAGCCCUGGCUGUCGGGCUGCCCGUGGCCUUUGCCCGGGACGGGAGCUGGGCUCUGGGCGAGAGGUGCACUUCCUCCUCGGGGACCCUCGUGGCCGCUGCUGACCAAGGACACCUGCCUGACAAGGGAGACCGGAUGUGCAGGGACCCAGUGUUGGCAAAAUUUCCGUGAGCCAUCACGUUAAGAAGAAGGAAAGGGAUUGGAGCCAGACUGAGGCUUAGAACCCGGGAGACCGACUCUGACGCUCGCGGGGCUGCCCUGCUUGUGAGACGUCAAGGCACAGCCGUAGACGUGUUCGAGACAAAGGAGCAUACGUCCCCAUGACGCCCUGGUGCUUCUCCCCGACUUCACCGAGGACCCCUGGUCCGGGGGGCGGACACCAGGGAGCAGCCAGCUGGGUGCUCCCUGGACUAGGGGUCCUCGGUGCCCACAGUGUGAAAUACGUGACCUCCGCGGAGCUGGACGGAACGCGGCUCUCUCGGGAGCUACGUGGCUGGUGUCAGAAGGAAGGGAGACGGAUCUUUCCCAUCCCGUCGAGCGAGCGGCCUGACCUCCUGCCGGGAGCUCCAGGGACUGUGUCAGGCAGAUGCCCACACGCACAGGAGGCGCGAGAGGCCCACACCAACUCAGACAGAAUUUUGUGUUCGAUUUCCCCUUGUCCUGCCUUCCACCUAAAAUUCGUUCCAUCGG